rnacentral:rRNA from 1 species
CCUACGGGAGGCAGCAGUAGGGAAUCUUCCACAAUGGGCGAAAGCCUGAUGGAGCAACGCCGCGUGAGUGAUGAAGGCCUUCGGGUUGUAAAACUCUGUCAUUCGGGACGAACCGGAGUCUGAGGAAAUGCAGACUCUCUGACGGUACCGGAGGAGGAAGCCCCGGCUAACUACGUGCCAGCAGCCGCGGUAAUACGUAGGGGGCAAGCGUUGUCCGGAUUCACUGGGCGUAAAGCGCGCGCAGGCGGUGAUGUAAGUCUGAGGUGAAAACCCGAAGCUCAACUUCGGGACUGCCUUGGAUACUGCGUCACUUGAGGAUAGGAGAGGCAAGGGGAAUUCCACGUGUAGCGGUGAAAUGCGUAGAGAUGUGGAGGAACACCUGUGGCGAAGGCGCCUUGCUGGCCUAUUUCUGACGCUGAGGCGCGAAAGCGUGGGGAGCAAACAGGAUUAGAUACCCUGGUAGUCCACGCUGUAAACGAUGAGUGCUAGGUGUAGGUGGGCUCAUACCCAUCUGUGCCGAAGCUAACGCAUUAAGCACUCCGCCUGGGGAGUACGGUCGCAAGACUGAAACUUAAGGAAUUGACGG